rnacentral:lncRNA from 1 species
CAUAUGAUUGCCAAUGAGACAACUCUCCACAAGAGACCAAAUGACACAGAAAUAAACAUCUAUAGGUCACUUAGCGGUCUUCAUUAAUGAGCAAAGCCCAUACUGCACAAUCAGCUUUAAAAAGCCCCAAAAUGACAAUGUAAAACAAUCAAGUGAGAAAACAAAAAAUAAAUAAAAAACAAAUAUGUAACACAUAAACAAAAGACAACCACUGUAUUACAGGCUCCUGACUUGGGACAGACACAGAUGCAAUGCACUUUUUCUGUCCUAAUAAAUGACCCA